rnacentral:rRNA from 1 species
GGGAAUUUGGACAAUGGGCGAAAGCCUGAUCCAGCCAUGCCGCGUGCGGGAAGAAGGCCUUCGGGUUGUAAACCGCUUUUGUCAGGGAAGAAAUAUUCCGGGUUAAUACCCUGGAAGGAUGACGGUACCUGAAGAAUAAGCACCGGCUAACUACGUGCCAGCAGCCGCGGUAAUACGUAGGGUGCGAGCGUUAAUCGGAAUUACUGGGCGUAAAGCGUGCGCAGGUGGUCAUGUAAGACAGAUGUGAAAUCCCCGGGCUUAACCUGGGAAUUGCAUUUGUGACUGCAUGGCUAGAGUGUGGCAGAGGGGGAUGGAAUUCCGCGUGUAGCAGUGAAAUGCGUAGAUAUGCGGAGGAACACCGAUGGCGAAGGCAGUCCCCUGGGCCUGCACUGACACUCAAGCACGAAAGCGUGGGGAGCAAACAG